rnacentral:rRNA from 1 species
UACGAAGGGGGCUAGCGUUGUUCGGAAUUACUGGGCGUAAAGCGCACGUAGGCGGAUUGUUAAGUGAGGGGUGAAAUCCCAGGGCUCAACCCUGGAACUGCCUUUCAUACUGGCAAUCUCGAGUCCGAGAGAGGUGAGUGGAAUUCCGAGUGUAGAGGUGAAAUUCGUAGAUAUUCGGAGGAACACCAGUGGCGAAGGCGGACUCACUGGCUCGGUACUGACGCUGAGGUGACGAAAGCGUGGGGAGCAAACAGGG